rnacentral:lncRNA from 1 species
UUAUAUUACUAAUAUCUAUUCUUUUAUUUUACUAGAAUAGCUAUAAUGUGUUUUAAUAAGAUUGCUUUUAUGUACUAUUUAGAUUUGAUAUAUGUUGACAGUCCAUAUGUUUCAAUUCACGUUUAGUAUGACGAAGUUAUUAAUAAUUAUUUGAAAGGUGACGGCGUUCUCUAGUUUGUUUUUCAUAAAUAAAAGUUUCACAUAUUAUAUGUAUAUUGAUUAAAUUUACUAUUUUGAAACAAUCAGCAUCAAAAGACAAAGUGAGAAACAAUUGCACUUUUGCGAGAGGUACUUUUUUUAUAAUCAAUGUGAGUUUGGUGUUAUCUUGGUUUUUUUUUGCAUUUUUUUGUUAUUAAUUUGUUAAUAUUUUACUAAACAGUAGUACACAAAAUGUAUGUCAUGCCAUGGAUAAUAUUUUUUUUAUUUAAAUAAAUAAUUUGUUUAUUUAAGUGUCACGUAUUGAUUGCAAUAAAAACAAUUCAUACACAAUAUACAUAAUAAUAAAACUACCAAUACCCAGCCA